rnacentral:rRNA from 1 species
UACGGAGGGGGCUAGCGUUGUUCGGAAUUACUGGGCGUAAAGCGCACGUAGGCGGCUUUGUAAGUUAGAGGUGAAAGCCCGGGGCUCAACCCCGGAAUUGCCUUUAAGACUGCAUCGCUUGAAUUGUGGAGAGGUGAGUGGAAUUCCGAGUGUAGAGGUGAAAUUCGUAGAUAUUCGGAAGAACACCAGUGGCGAAGGCGGCUCACUGGACUGGUAUUGACGCUGAGGUGCGAAAGCGUGGGGAGCAAACAGG